rnacentral:rRNA from 1 species
AAUCAACGCUGGCGGCGUGCCUAACACAUGCAAGUCGCACGAGAAAGGGCUUCGGCCUGAGUAAAGUGGCGCACGGGUGAGUAACACGUGACUUAUCUACCCUCGAGUGGGGAAUAACCUAGGGAAACCUGGGCUAAUACCGCAUAACACUUACGAGUCAAAGCAGCAAUGCGCUUGGGGAGGAGGUCGCGGCAGAUUAGUUAGUUGGUGGGGUAAUGGCCUACCAAGACGAUGAUCUGUAUCCGGCCUGAGAGGGCGCACGGACACACUGGAACUGAAACACGGUCCAGACUCCUACGGGAGGCAGCAGUGGGGAAUUUUGCGCAAUGGGGGAAACCCUGACGCAGCAACGCCGCGUGGAGGAUGAAGUCUCUUGGGACGUAAACUCCUUUCGACAGGGACGAUAAUGACGGUACCUGUAGAAGAAGCCCCGGCUAACUUCGUGCCAGCAGCCGCGGUAAUACGAGGGGGGCAAGCGUUGUUCGGAAUUAUUGGGCGUAAAGGGCGCGUAGGCGGUUUGGCAAGUUUCGUGUGAAAUCUUCGGGCUCAACUCGAAGUCUGCACGGAAAACUGCCGAGCUUGAGUAUGGGAGAGGUGAGUGGAAUUUCCGGUGUAGCGGUGAAAUG